AAUCAAUGAUCUUGAAUAAGUUUAUAUUUUGAAAAUAUAAAAAAGAAAUUAAAUUUUUCUAUUGAUUU
rnacentral:tRNA from 1 species